CUCAGCUCACUGCAACCUCUGCCUCCCUGGUUCAAGGAAUUCUCCUGCCUCAGCCUCCAGAGUAGCUGGGAUUACAGGCACCUGCCAUCAUGCCCAGCUAAUUUUUGUAUUUUUAGUAGAGACGGGGUUUCACCAUGUUGCCUAGGCUGGUCUCAAACUCCCGGGCUCAAGCGAUCCACCCGCCUUGGCCUCCCAAAGUGCUGGGAUUACAGGCGUGAGCCACCGCGCCUGGCCAGAAUAAUCUUAAGGGCUAUGAUGGGAGAAGUACAGGGACUGGUACCUCUCACUCCCUCACUCCCACCUUCCAGGCCUGAUGCCUUUAACCUACUUCAGGAAAAUCUCUAAGGAUGAAAAUUCCUUGGCCACCUAGAUUGUCUUGAAGAUCAGCCUACUUGGGCUCUCAGCAGACAAAAAAGAUGAGUAUAGUGUCUGUGUUCUGGGAGGGGGCUUGAUUUGGGGCCCUGGUGUGCAGUUAUCAACGUCCACAUCCUUGUCUCUGGCAGGAGCGGAGCAGCGAACAGAAUCCAUCAUUCACCGGGCUCUCUACUAUGACUUGAUCAGCAGCCCAGACAUCCAUGGUACCUAUAAGGAGCUCCUUGACACGGUCACUGCCCCCCAGAAGAACCUCAAGAGUGCCUCCCGGAUCGUCUUUGAGAAGAAGCUGCGCAUAAAAUCCAGCUUUGUGGCACCUCUGGAAAAGUCAUAUGGGACCAGGCCCAGAGUCCUGACGGGCAACCCUCGCUUGGACCUGCAAGAGAUCAACAACUGGGUGCAGGCGCAGAUGAAAGGGAAGCUCGCCAGGUCCACAAAGGAAAUUCCC
rnacentral:lncRNA from 10 species